UACGAAGGGAGCUAGCGUUGUUCGGAAUUACUGGGCGUAAAGCGCACGUAGGCGGUCAUUUAAGACAGGGGUGAAAUCCCAGAGCUCAACUCUGGAACUGCCUUUGAUACUGGGUGUCUUGAGUAUGGAAGAGGUGAGUGGAAUUCCGAGUGUAGAGGUGAAAUUCGUAGAUAUUCGGAGGAACACCAGUGGCGAAGGCGGCUCACUGGUCCAUUACUGACGCUGAGGUGCGAAAGCGUGGGGAGCAAACAGG
rnacentral:rRNA from 1 species